rnacentral:rRNA from 1 species
GAUGAACGCUGGCGGCGUGCCUAAUACAUGCAAGUCGAGCGAACGGACGAGAAGCUUGCUUCUCUGAUGUUAGCGGCGGACGGGUGUGUAACACGUGGAUAACCUACCUAUAAGACUGGGAUAAUUUCGGGAAACCGGAGCUAAUACCGGAUAAUAUUCUGCACCGUAUUGUUCAAAAGUGAAAGACGGUCUUGCUGUCACUUAUAGAUGCAUCCGCGCUGCAUUAGAUAGUUGUUAAGGUAACGGCUUACCAAGGCAACGAUGCAUAGCCGAACUGAGAGGGUGAUCGGCCACACUGGAACUGAGACACGGUCCAGACUCCUACGGGAGGCAGCAGUAGGGAAUCUUCCGCAAUGGGCGAAAGCCUGACGGAGCAACGCCGCGUGAGUGAUGAAGGCCUUCGGAUCGUAAAGCUCUGUUAUUAGGGAAGAACAUAUGUGUAAGUAAAUGUGCACAGCUUGACGGUACCUAAUCAGAAAGCCACGGCUAACUACGUG